UCCGGAAACCGUACUAAAACCGACACAGGUAGGUAGGAUGAGUAUUCUAAGGCGCUCGAGAGAACGCUCGUGAAGGAACUCUGCAACAUGGCUCCGUAACUUCGGGAUAAGGAGCGCCCACUUCGGUGGGCCGCAGUGAAAAGGUUCUGGCGACUGUUUAUCAAAAACACAGGUCUGUGCGAAGGCGUAAGCCGCAGUAUACAGACUGACGCCUGCCCGGUGCUGGUAAGUUAAGGAAGAGGGUUAGCCGUAAGGUGAAGCUCGCAACCGAAGCUCCAGUAAACGGCGGCCGUAACUAUGACGGUCCUAAGGUAGCGAAGUUCCUUGUCGGGUAAGUUCCGACCUGCAUGAAUGGCGUAACGACCGGAACACUGUCUCCACGAGCGACUCGGUGAAACUGUACUUGUCGUGAAGAUGCGACAUACCCGCAGCUAGACGGAAAGACCCCGUGAACCUUAACUGCAGUUUGGUAUUGGGUUUAGACCCAACAUGCGUAGCGUAGGUGGGAGCUUAUGAACCGGGCGUUUCGGCGCCUGGGGAGGCAACGAUGAAACACCACCCUUGUUGUGUUUGAAUUCUAACCCGGAUGUCUGAAUCGACUCCGCGGACAGUGCUAAAUGGGCAGUUUGAUUGGGGCGAUCUCCUCCUAAAGGGUAACGGAGGAGUCCAAAGGUACCCUCAGCCCGGUUGGCAAUCGGGCAACGAGCGUAAAGGUAUAAGGGUGCUUGACUGCGAGCGUGAUAACGCGAGCAGGGACGAAAGUCGGGCUUAGUGAUCCGGUGGUCCGGGAUGGAACGGCCAUCGCUCAACAGAUAAAAGGUACUCCGGGGAUAACAGGCUUAUCUCCUCUGAGCGUUCAUAGCGGCGAGGAGGUUUGGCACCUCGAUGUCGGCUCAUCACAUCCUGGGGGUGGAGAAGCUCCCAAGGGUUCGGCUGUUCGCCGAUGAAAGUGGUACGUGAGCUGGGUUCAGACCGUCGUGAGACAGGUCGGUCCCUAUCUGCUGUGGGCGUAGGAAACUUGAUGGGCUUUCUCCCUAGUACGAGAGGACUGGGAGGGACGCACCGCUGGUGUGCCAGUUAUGACGCUAGUCGUACCGCUGGGUAGCUACGUGCGGAAUGGAUAAACGCUGAAAGCAUAUAAGCGUGAAACUUCCCCAAAGAUAAGGUUUCCUCACAAGAAGGCUCCUCGUAGACUACGAGGUCGAUAGGCCGGGUGUGUAAGUGGAGUAAUUCACUCAGCUAACCGGUACUAACAGCCGAACGUUUGGCCAC
rnacentral:rRNA from 1 species